AAUUCUUUCAACAUGUGGUUGUAUUUGUAAAGAAUAACUUUUUCUGUAACUUUUUCAUUUCUAUAUUUAUCCUCAUUUCUUUUCCUCACCUUAUUUUGAUGACCAGGAAAAGUUCCAGAAUUCCAAAUAAUAUAUUGAAGGAAGCGAUGACAACAUAUAUCUGAUUUUUGUUUUAUUUUUGGUUUUUACUGCUCCUUAGAAGAGUGAUGCCCAUGGUUUCUUCACUGUGAAUACUCUUGAGUUCUGAGUCCAAAAUAAGAUGCUUUUUUUUUUCUUUGAGACAGAGUACCACUCUGUUGUCCCAGCGGGUAAUGGUGUCAUCGCUCACGACAAUCUCAAACUUCUAGGCAUAAGCACAUGCUACGAUGUCUGGCUAAUUUUUCCAUUUUUUAUAGAGGUGUGUUUUCACCCUUGCUCUUGAAGCUGUUCCCAAACUUCUGACCUCAAGUGAUCUUCUUGCUUUGGCCUCCUGAAGUGCUAGGAUUACAGGCCAGACCCCUUAUGAGACUUUAUCAUGCUAAGGGAAGUCCCUUUAUUUCUCUCUCAAAGAUAAAAAAAAGAAAAAAACGACAACGAAAAGUCUCUAUUCUCCCCUUCAUUUGUGAUGAAUCUACUAGUACCCAGUCUUCUUGUGAAUGUGAAGCAUUUCUGUAUUUGGUUACAUCUGGAGAUUGCUCUUUCAUUAUGCAGUCACUUCUUUCUUGUCAGUAACAACUUGUAGCUCUAUUAAUUUAGAUCAGUGAAUGAGCACCAUCAUUCACUGUCAUGUUUGUGACUUUCCCCCUAUGAGUUGCUGAGUAAAUCUGACUUAACCAAGUAAAAUGUUUAGCUUUAUGUAAUCAAUUUAGCCAAAGAGAUACUAUUUUCCUUGUCAUUUAAAAAGAAAUAAGGCAAUCAGCAAAAUCUGUUUUCUUCUAAGGUAUUUAAUACAGAAAGUAAUAUAAAGAUGAAAGCCUUUCAAAUCUCAAAUUUGAUCUAAAAACUAACAUCUUGAGUGUUUCUUCCUAAAAAUCAGUAAGUUGGAAGACCUUGGUACAAAAAUACUACUUCUCAGCAGAAUGGAUAUAAUGGAAGAAAUGGAAGUGAAUGAAAUAAAUGAAUUUGCUAAAGACCUUUCACAAGCCUCUCUUUUCAAUGCAUUCCACAACAUCCAAGACAUCAGGAUUGAGAACAUGCGAUCUUUGCUCAUAAAGUCUUUUACUGGCCUAUCCAAAGCCAGUGUGACUUCAGGGUGGAAGUAAUAGCCAAUAUUAAAGUUGCUGUCAUCACUUUUCUCAAAAAUACUGCACAGUUGUUAAUGUUUGUAAUGGACUCUAUAAAGUUCGGCAACUCCAGAUUUUCCCAGAACUUCUGGAAUUCACAAGAAACCACUGAGACUGAUAAUAUGCCACUUGAUAUUGAAAAUAAUUAUGUAACAAUUUUCUUUGAAAAAUACCAAAAAAGAAGAAGGAUGUCCAGUAUUUCCUAGAGGAGAGUUCAGUCCUUGUUGAAUUUUCUGACUAUAAAGUGAUGGAUACCUACUUGGCUAAAAAUCUUGUCUUCAGUGAAAGAUAUCUCUGCUCCCAUGUUGUAAGUCUUUGGGCACAGCCUAGUAUGGAAGGGAGAAGCCCCUGAGAAAGUUGCUGGCACCAUUCCUGGUGUCCCUGGAUCCGCACAUGUGGAUGUUCAUGCAGAAGAAACAUCACCUGAUUGGAAUGAAAAAUUAUAAAGAGGGAAGUUGUCGCUGUGAGGUAACAUGACCACAAGUCAGCUGUAAGGGGACAGAGGUAACACUCAGGUCUGCAGCCACCGAACUCACUCAAAGAAGACUGAAAAAUCAGUGUCAUCAAACCUGGGAGAAGAUGUUCCUAAAAAAUUCUCCUUCAUCAUAUUUAAAUAUCAAGUCACCAAAUUGAAUGUGAUGUACGGGAGGACAUAAAAAAUAGCACAGGGGAUGAUAAAAUUUUGAUUGGGUUUGAUAUAUUUAAGGAGCUGGUCUUAAUAUCGGUUGUUUGGAAGAUGUGAAAAUUAUAACACAAAGACAUUAAUAGAAAGUACCAACCAAAACAUUGAAAAGAUAAUCAGGGAAUGUGCUGAUUCAUUUGGAAGGUUUUCUGGUCUUCACAAAGUGGGACAUCAUUGAUAUUGCUUUCACCCAACAUACCAAACUGCAUGCAGGAGGGUGUGAAGUGAAGAAUGAAAUUCCUGAACAAGGGAAAAGGAUUGCCCAGAAAUCUGUUCCCAAAGACAGUGAAAAAUUCUCUGAGACAAUUUUAAGCAAAGAAAAUUUAUAUCCUUUUCGAGUUAGCCACAUAAUAGAAAAUAGGUUUUAUUUCAUGCAUUAUAUGUGAUCAAAUGAUAGUCAUUGCCUGGAGCUCUGUGUUGAGGAAGAUUCUGAAACUGUAUUUGGAUUGAUUGAAAAAAAAGUUCUGAUACCAAUUAGUAAUGUCUGUCACAGGUGCUAUAAAAAAUAUGUGCCAUGUUUUUACCAUUCAUUGGCAUGGGAAAUCCCAUGAGGUAGAUCAGCUCACAUUCUGUGAAAAGCAGAGCUGAGUUGGGUGUGAAGAGACCAGAUUCAAGUAUUGUGUCUUCUGUUAGUUAGUAGUUUGACUUUGUGACUUCAUCACACGGGUUUCAUUUUCAGGACAAUGAAGUUUCUAAAUUGGAUGAUCUGUGAUGACCCUUUAAAUUCUAAAAUUCUGUGACUGAUUAAUAGUCAAACUUCAAAUGUGUUAUUGUGGAGAGGGUGCAGGGAUUGUGUCUUAGUUUGUGUUUCCCCAGAAGGGGACCUAGAGAUAGGAUUGGAGUGUGAAUGAUUGAAAUGGAAAAGUAAAGGAAACUUUGGGUACAUUAUCAAAUUAGCUCCCUCUCAAUCCCACUGAGGAAACUCCAAGUCAAUCUAUUUGGGAGGCAAGGUUGCUGGGGUGUUUUUAUACCAGCUCCUGCCAAUCAUUGAAUGAGGGCUGGUGAUGGGGCAGAUGGGCUAAUUUGCCUGUGUUUCCUCUCUACUAUGCCAGUGAGCACUAACGAAAGUCCCCAGGCAAGAAGUACAGAUGGAAAUGUGUAUAGGGUGUGCUUAAGUAGUAAGGGCUGGGGGAUAUGGACAGGGUCUGCUAUGCCAGCAUUCUUGGAGAAAUAAAGUAAAAGAGCUCAUUGGCAUUUGGUAUUAAAUACAAUUGAUACUUAAACAUUAAUAUAAGGAAUUAUCUCCUUUUGGAUCUCAGAGCUGAGGUAUGAGUUGAAUAAAGGAAAUUUGUAAAAUCUACUAGUUAUUUUCUGUUUAGCCCCCUACAAGGAGAGUCUUCAGAUAGGCACUGCCUAGUAAUGCUUUUCUGU